AGGUUCAAGGUUUUAUUCAAUUGUAUGUGCAGUAUAUUAUGUCCUCCUGAGCUCAUACAAGCUCUGUCCUUGGUUUGAGUCCAUUCUUUAUAAAGCGCUAGUAAUUGUUACUUUGUAUUUAUCCAAGUAUUUUGCAGCAGUCAAUUGUGUGAUGAUUGUUAGUAUUGUUCCAGGCCAAUUUGGAAAGGCAUAAGUGGUAGAGGGAGUUUAAUGGAUGUUGCAAGAGAUGCCAUGCAGUAUCAAGCCCAAGAGGACCCUUGAGGAGUUCAUGAAAUGUGAGAAUGCACUUGGAGGGUGUGGGUUGGAGACAGGUGGGGGUAGGGGAGGGGGACAGAGCAUAUAAGGAAAAAAGAGACACAAGCAGAGAUUACCUUUACCUUUUCCAAUUUAAAGCCCUCUGGUGCAGAUCAGCUGGUCUACCCUGGAAAGACGCAGGCUUCCCAGACCAGGGCAGAUACAUUCCACUCUGGCCGGACACCCAGGGCUCUCUGGCUGCUUCUGCCCUGAACCCUGAGUCCAAAUGCUGGGGGGUAGAUGUUCUGCGCAGCCUGCCAGUCACUUCCCAGGCCUUCUUUCACUUCUAGGGCCCCACCUUUCACUUGCAAGAGAUGAUGAAAGUUAAGAAAGGAAGGUACACAGAAGUGGCGAAGAGGUUUUCCCUUACUUGGAAGGCCUUGUUAUAAAUCUAUUGCACUUUGGUUCCAAACCGUGUCUAGACCAAUCUACUUCACUGAUACUGUUCAUUAAAAACGAGUGGGAAAUGACUGUUAUAAUACCAACAAUGAAAGAAAGCUGGAAAACACAAGAGAACUGAGAAAGAACUGUUUGAAAAUUCUGGAGCUCAAUAAAAAGCAAGUGUAAUCAGAGUAAAACAAGAAAGUAGGUGGAGAUGUAGGUAGCAACUUUGAAGGAGACUCACAACCGAAGGACAGGGGCUCUUUAUUGUCUGCAACGUCAAUGCAGAAACCCACCCCCUUCGUAUAUACACUGGGCAUGCUGGUUUCACUGCCCAGUCAAGAUUUGGGUUGAUUUUUGGUUCACAAAAGGAAGAAAAGAGAGAGAGGCAGAGGAAAAGAAGAAAACAUGGCCCCAGAUGUUCUGGACCAGAGUUUAAAGAGAAGAAGGGAGAGAGGACAGCGGUUCCCCAGCAGGAGUGCCUGCAACCUGAUGGGAUUAAAGGAGCUGAGUGAGGAUAAAAGGAGAUGCACAGACCCUCCCAGGGGCAUGAAUAAGGCUUCCCCUCUCAGGGUCUGUCAUUUACUCCCUUCCUCCCCCCAGCCUCCAGGUGGCACAGCUGACCCAUCCCAGCAUGCUAGAGACCUGAAAGAUAGGACAGAGACCUGGGCAAGUUUGGGGAAGACAAGGAAGAAACAAAAGGCAUUGUUGACAGGCAGGAUUGGGGGAGUGUCGCCUGUUAGCAUCCUCAGUGGCUCUGAGCUCAAGCUAGGAAACAUUUCACUGCAUCUUGGAUAGGAUGGCCAGACACUCCCAAAACUACAACGGAAAUCUUUCAUGCCACAAUUUAAGCUCUUGUUCUCUUUUCUUGUCCCAAUAAAGAGAAUUGCGUUGACACAGCACACAGCAGUUUGUAUCAGUUCAUUUUAUGACAUGCUUGCUAGAGACCUGAAGUUACUUGAACCUACAGAGACACAUUUACAGGACGUGAAUUCUAGAUAUGGACGACGAGGCCGGGGUUUCUCAACUGUGGACAUUGGGCCAGGGGGUGGCUGUCCGGCGCCUUAUGGAACGUGUAGCUGCAUCCCACUAAAUUGUACACAGUAGCGCCCUUCCCCUCUCCCAGGGGGCCUAAUGUCUCCGGAGUUUGCGGAUUCAGUCCAGGGGCUGGGCUAGUUUUCCCUGUAGUGGGGCGCUUCCCACAAUGGAGUUAGCUCAAAAUGCAGAUCCAAUUCAGCAGGUCUGUGAUGGGGCUCAGGAUUCUUCAAUCUCAAGGAGCUCCUGAGCAGGCGAUGCCGGCACUGCAGGUCCCCAGACCACACUUUGAAUGGCAAGGCCCCCUCGCACUGGUUUAGUCACAGGAGGGAGCUGGGUGGGAACACUGGCCUGACACUGUGUCCCUGUGGGACCCCUGGCUGAUGACAGAACGAACUUCCAAGGGCCUCAACAUCCUCAAUUAAAAAAUGAUGACGGUUGUUAAGGAUGAAGUAAAACACAGUGAAAAUGAAGCGACCAGUCUGGCAUCUGGCUUAUAAAAAAUGUUAAUUCCCCACCCCUUCCCUCUUGGCUCCUCCCAGCCCCAUGCCUGGAAACCUCAAGCUCAAGGCAUCUCUGGGGAUUACAGGGAAUUCC